ensembl:lncRNA
UGCAGGCACACUGUCAGCUAUGAGCAGGAGGGACACGCAAGAUGGGGGCCCUGCCUCUCCUAUCAGGCGGGGCAGCAUCAGCUCUCCCCUUCCCUUUUUAUUGUUUCCUGCUGUUUUCCUCUGAUUUCAGUCUGUGGCACACUGGAGGUGUUCUGGAGAGAGGCUGUAGACCAGGCGCUCUAUAAAUGUGACCUUCAUUCUGUAGCAGCAACAGCCCUUGUUAGAAAUGCUCUGGUCCCCACCCAGACCCACUGAAUCAGACUCUGAGGCCCAGCAAUCUGCGUUUUAAGAAGCCCUUCCUUCAUUGGGCUUCCCUGAUAGCUCCCUCAUUGAGCUUCCCUGGUAACUUCCCUCACUGGGCUUCCAUGAUAGCUCAGUUGGUAAAGAAUCUGCCUGCCAUGCAGGAGACCCUGGUUCAAUUCCUAGGUUGGAGAAGAUCCCUGGAGAAGGGAUAGGCUACCCACUCCAGUAUUCUGGCCUGGAGAAUUCCAUGGACUAUACAGUUGGACACAACUGAGUGCCUUUCACUUUCUUUUUUUUAUUAUUAUUUUUUUACUUUACAAUAUUGUAUUGGUUUUGCCAUACAUCAACAUGCAUCCGCCACAGGUGUACACAUGUUCCCCAUCCUGAACCCCCCUCCCACCUCCCUCCCCAUACCAUCCCUCUGGGUCACUUUUCAUUUUCAGAGGAUUCUGAUAAAAGUUUGAGAACCACCCAUGUAGAUGCUUGUCAGGGUGGAGGAGUGAGAAUAUCAGAGCCUGCCAGCGAUGAUCCUUCCAAGACUGUCAUUGCUGGGGCUCUAGGGAAACGCCAGGAAAGAAUUUUCUUGCUGUCACUCUGUUUGUGAAAGUCCACAGAGUUACACCUUGAGCAUCCACAGCCUCCCACCCCUUGCCACCUCACCUGGCCUCCUGCUACCCGGGAUGGCCUUACUCUCAGCUGAGCAGCAGGAAUCAGGGCUGCCCGCAGAGUGGGAAUCAGAACCAUGUCCUUAAUCAGAAGUGUGUCAGGAACCCCAGGGCUUGGGGCUGCAUUCAGGAAGGAGGGACAGAACUGGCUGCUUACUUCCCAACUGACCUGAGGCUCUCCUGGGGACUGAACCCCUCAAAGCUCCUGCCUGGAACCAGCACCCUCUGCUGCAGAAAGGGAAUCUCUCCCAGGCCUCUGUCAACCCUCCCCAGAGCAUGUCUUCACCUCGAGGCUAGGAGAGGCCCCGGUUCAAGUGCAGAGACACCCCAGAGAGAAUGCUCCCAGCCUAGUUUGGGACCUGGGACCUGUACCCUCAUGUCUCGACAAGACGAGAAGAUCUGAGCUCUAUGAAGUUGAUUCAGUUGGCUGCAGGCUGUAACCCCCUUCAGUACAUCACCAGGUCAUGGUUCCCAAACUUGGCUGCAUGUUGGAAUCACCUGGGGAUCUUUAAAAACUACUGUUCCCACUCCCAGCCCCAGAUGUUCUGAUUUAAUUGGCAUAGGGUGUGACCUGGCCACCGGAGUGUUUAAAUUCCCCCAGGUGAUUCUAAUGUGCACACAAGUUUGGGAGCCAAUGAACAAGUUCUCCUGAGACCAAGCCCAGCUCAUAUUCUAAUGUUUAG